rnacentral:rRNA from 1 species
AGGGUUUGAUUAUGGCUCAGGACGAACGCUGGCGGCGUGCCUAACACAUGCAAGUCGAACGGAGUAAGGCCCUUCGGGACCUUACUUAGUGGCGAACGGGUGAGUAACGCGUGAGGAACCUGCCUUUCAGUGGGGGACAACAGUUGGAAACGACUGCUAAUACCGCAUAAUGCUUUUGAGUGGCAUCACUUAAAAGCCAAAGAUUUAUUGCUGAAAGAUGGCCUCGCGUCUGAUUAGCUAGUUGGUGGGGUAACGGCCCACCAAGGCGACGAUCAGUAGCCGGUCUGAGAGGAUGAACGGCCACAUUGGGACUGAGAUACGGCCCAG